CCCGGACCAAAACCCAGGUACUGGCUUUCUUAGGGACGGCCGGGUAUUACAGGAAGUUCGUCCCAGAAUAUAGCGCCCUGGCCAAGCCCCUCACGGACCUUACCAAAAAGGCCCUCCCCAAACAGGUCGCCUGGACCCCAGAGUGCACGGACGCUUUCCAGAAGCUCAAAGCGGCAUUGAGUGAGGCCCCUGUGUUGGCAGCACCCGAUUACACUAAACAAUUUCUUGUCCACACAGAUGCC